UGGGGAAUAUUGCACAAUGGGCGCAAGCCUGAUGCAGCCAUGCCGCGUGUAUGAAGAAGGUCUUCGGGUUGUAAAGUACUUUCAGCGGGGAGGAAGGGAGUAAAGUUAAUACCUUUGCUCAUUGACGUUACCCGCAGAAGAAGCACCGGCUAACUCCGUGCCAGCAGCCGCGGUAAUACGGAGGGUGCAAGCGUUAAUCGGAAUUACUGGGCGUAAAGCGCACGCAGGCGGUUUGUUAAGUCAGAUGUGAAAUCCCCGGGCUCAACCUGGGAACUGCAUCUGAUACUGGCAAGCUUGAGUCUCGUAGAGGGGGGUAGAAUUCCAGGUGUAGCGGUGAAAUGCGUAGAGAUCUGGAGGAAUACCGGUGGCGAAGGCGGCCCCCUGGACGAAGACUGACGCUCAGGUGCGAAAGCGUGGGGAGCAAACAGG
rnacentral:rRNA from 1 species